AUGAAAGAGACUGACAAUACCAAAUACUGUCAACAACGAGGAACUGGAACCGACAUACUACUGCUGAGAAGUAGAACAAAUUGCUGCAUAUUCAUGCAAUGUAACAUUAUACAACAAUAGAAAUGAAUGAAAUACAAAUACUUGCAACGAUAUGCAUGAAACUUUCACAAACAUGAUGUUGAACAAAAGAAAAAAAGAGAAGUAGAAUAAGGAAGAAAGGUUAACAGAUAAGGGAGUGAAUGAAGAAGUGACUGAAAGGGGGAAUGAAU
rnacentral:lncRNA from 1 species